UGCCAUUUAAGAACCAGAACAGUAGGCUUUC
rnacentral:piRNA from 1 species